rnacentral:rRNA from 1 species
UACGUAGGGUGCAAGCGUUGUCCGGAAUUAUUGGGCGUAAAGAGCUCGUAGGCGGUUUGUCGCGUCUGCUGUGAAAUCUGGAGGCUCAACCUCCAGCCUGCAGUGGGUACGGGCAGACUAGAGUGCGGUAGGGGAGAUUGGAACUCCUGGUGUAGCGGUGGAAUGCGUAGAUAUCGGAAGGAACACCAGUGGCGAAAGCGGCUUCCUGGUCCGACACCGACGUUCAGGCACGAAAGCGUGGGGAGCAAACAGG